rnacentral:rRNA from 1 species
CAGUCGCCGCGGGAAAACGUAGGUGGCAAGCGUUGUCCGGAAUUAUUGGGCGUAAAGGGCUCGCAGGCGGUUUCUUAAGUCUGAUGUGAAAGCCCCCGGCUCAACCGGGGGGGGUCAUUGGAAACUGGGAAACUUGAGUGCAGAAGAGGAGAGUGGAAUUCCACGUGUAGCGGUGAAAUGCGUAGAGAUGUGGAGGAACACCAGUGGCGAAGGCGACUCUCUGGUCUGUAACUGACGCCGAGGAGCGAAAGCGUGGGGAGCGAACAGGAUUAGAUACCCGUGUAGUCCCUGUCUCUUAUAC